AGCUGAGAUUGCACCACUGUACUCCAACCUGGGCAACAGAGCAAGACUGUCUCAAAAGGAAAAAAAUUCAUUCAAAAGACAUAAAUGCAUUAGGCACCCGGAAGAAGUUGCGGAAGUUGCGUGUUUGGAAAUGCAAUAUCUUGGGGAGACGUCAACUUCUGAAGUGACUUUGAAGGCAGGGCAGCUACCCAGGCAAAUGGCGUGGAAGGAAGAGCUGAGAGUGGGCCUGGGAAAGGCUAUAGGGAAGGAGUGAAGCUGUCACUGAAAAUGAUCUUGACCCGCUUUAGUAUGGGGACAGAAUCCCCAACUGCACUAUUGAGGGAGUUUUAGAAGAGAAGGAAGAGGUGCUGGAAGGAUGCUUUUGCAGUCAUACAGCAAGGAAAUGACCAGGGCUGUGAAGAUCUACAGAGGAAGUGCUCCAGUGUGGGGGAGGCAAGGGAAGAGGACGAAAAUGAUGAGAAUGACACUGAGGUCAUUAUUUAGAGCAGAUCUCAAGCAGCCGUUUGGCCAUGCCAAAUCCUUUGUGGAGCAUGGUGGGCUAUCUAUCUAUCUAUAUUGAGCUUCUUUACUGCCACCUACACGUUUUUCUCCAAAUUUUAUUAAUUUCAUAGUGUUUUAAUUUGGGUGGCAGAUGACUUUUAAGCAGUGGGUGUUUGCCGGCCAGAUCUUUCCUGGCAUGCGGACUGUGAGGCAAAGCACAGGUGAAGGUAGGCGCUAAAGGCUUUGGGCUAAAACCAGCAAGCAGUUCUGUGCUAUAGGAGUCUCUCGUUUCCCGUGGACAGGUUCAGCGUUCCUUCAUUUGCACAACUUCUUUCUGAGUGUUCCAGUGACCAAGCCAGUCAUUCGGACACUGAUUUGCAGUGCAUUGGCAGUAAUUCACAAAUUAGUUAUUACAUAAGUCUCUCUCAUCCCUUUCACACUAGAUUCUCAGACAUGAAUGAAUUUGUCGUUUGGAAGGAAAGCUGGGUAAGGUUUUGGGCACAGGGGUAGGAGGACUCCAGUCUUAACUCCCACGCUAACUUGAGCUCAAGUGGAGUUUUCACCAUGGUCAUUUCUACCUCUGGAGCAAGGUUCUAGCGCCAGUACUAGAGCCUGCUCAUCCACAUUUGCCCUGGACAGGAGCAGGAGGAAGUCCACUUCUGUACCAGCAGACAGAGCAUGUGAACACAAGACACAUUUCUAUGGCAUAGUCAACUGAACUUCAUUUUUACAUUUAAUCUAACAUGUUAACACGUUCUAACAGGGUUUCUAUGAGCAGCUGCUGUAACAUACUCAUAAAAUAUGAUAGACUUAACACUUGUUACCUAAUGAACAAGGAGUGUGUGCAUUUCAGGUUUCUUUUGAUAUUCUUGGAGGUGAUUGUCAGUGUUUAAAUAGGACUACUUUCUCCACUGUGAAGAUGACUUGGAAAUUGCAACAUCAUGGUACAUUGCUAAGUCCAUGCUUGUGUGUGUGACAGUAGACUUGAUAAUUGAUCUUAAAACACAGCAGCAUUGAAAUUUAGGAAAAGAAUAUUAAAUGCCUUUGGAAACAUGAAACAAACUUAGGAGCCAGUAAGAAAGUGACAGAAGCAAUGAAUGUCUUAAUGCAGUAUAGUUAAAAUGGCUUCCCACAGGGUAGAUACUUAUCCGGGAUCCUUACUUUUCCUUCUUCCUCCAGGUUUUUCAGGGGUCACUUCACAUUUCUAAAGAAAGAGUGAAUAGGCUGGGCAUGGUGGCUCAAGCCUCUAAUCUCAGCGCUUUGGGAGGCUGAGGCAGGAGGAUCGCUUGAGGCAGAAGUUUGAGACCAGCUUGGGCAACAUAACGAGACCCCGUCUCUACAAAAAAAAUGUAAAAAUUAGCUGAGCAUGGUGGCAUGUGCCAGUAGUCCCAGCUACUCAGAAGGCUAAGACUGGAGGAUUGCUUGAGCCAAUGAGUUGGAGGCUGCAGUGAGCUAUGAUCACGCCACUGCACUCCAGCCUGGGCUGCAGGGUGAGGUCCUGUCUCUGAAAAAAAAAAAAAAAAGUGAAUAGGUAAAAGGGACAGAGGUGAAAUUUUGAGUGACUUGAGUCUCUUGCAGUCCCUGAUUACACAGAACCUUUCUGAGCUACUUGGAGCAUCACGAAUAGUCUUUCUUGUACUUACCAGAUUUCAAGUAUUCAUAACUUGACUCCCUAAGUGUACAAGUUGGGAAUAGUACAGGGCCAAGUUCAAGUCACAUACCCUGUACUGUUCCUUCUGCAAAUGUGGGGAAAGAAGAGGGAGAUAGUAGAGGAAUUGAGGCUCCGCCCAUUCAUUCAGUUGCUCUAAGCACCAGAGGACUUGUUUCAGAAAAGGGGAGUAGGAACGCCCUCGACUUUGCCCUCCUCCAGAGCAUCUCUGGGACGCAGGGAGCCUGGCUAGCGUUAACAGGAAAGAUUGCUCGGCAGAGCUGCCCUGGGGUACUGACUUGUCUCUCCCUCCUUUGUCAAGGUCCAUGUUUUUCUGGCUCUUCCUGCACACUCAUCCCUAGAUUAUGAGCGUUAAUGUACGAAAUGUGCAGAGCAAAUUGAGGCCACCUGUGGCAUCAAUACUGCAACUUAAACUUGACAAUCAUGGUUUGCUGGUCUCAAAUAGGCACUGAAAUCUCAGUAUGGGUAUAUGAUUUAAUAAUCGGCCCCUCCCUUCUAUUUGUCGGUUUUAUGUUUCUAUCCUUCAAUAGCUGCACUGUUUUCUAAUGUGCUGUAGAGUUUUUGAAAUAAUUUAUGCAAGUAUUUGGUUUCCAUAUUUACAAUUUAUACAGCUUUCCUAGCAUUUUAAAUGGAAAUGUCAAUAAAUGCUAUGAAUUGGUGUCGAA